rnacentral:rRNA from 1 species
CAAUAGCGUAUAUUUAAGUUGUUGCAGUUAAAAAGCUCGUAGUUGGAUUUCGGUUGAGAACGGCCGGUCCGCCGUUUGGUGUGCGCUGGCUGGUUUCAACUUCCUGUAGAGGACGCGCUCUGGCUUCACGGCUGGACGCGGAGUCUACGUGGUUACUUUGAAAAAAUUAGAGUGUUCAAAGCGGGCUUACGCUUGAAUAUUUCAGCAUGGAAUAACACUAUAGGACUCCUGUCCUAUUUCGUUGGUCUCGGGACGGGAGUAAUGAUUAAGAGGAACAGUUGGGGGCAUUCGUAUUUCAUUGUCAGAGGUGAAAUUCUUGGAUUUAUGAAAGACGAACUUCUGCGAAAGCAUUUGCCAAGGAUGUUUUCAUUAA